rnacentral:rRNA from 1 species
AACGAACGCUGGCGGCGUGCCUAACACAUGCAAGUCGAACGUGAUUGGGGAGCUUGCUCCUCAUGAAAGUGGCGCACGGGUGAGUAACGCGUAGAUAAUCUACCUGAUGAUUCGGGAUAACACUUCGAAAGGGGUGCUAAUACGGAAUAAGCCCACGGAGUCUUUGGACACUGCGGGAAAAGGAGGGGACCUUCGGGCCUUCCGUCAUCAGAUGAGUCUGCGUACCAUUAGCUAGUUGGUAGGGUAAAGGCCUACCAAGGCGACGAUGGUUAGCUGGCCUGAGAGGAUGAUCAGCCACACUGGAACUGAGACACGGUCCAGACUCCUACGGGAGGCAGCAGUGGGGAAUUUUGCGCAAUGGGGGAAACCCUGACGCAGCAACGCCGCGUGAGUGAUGAAGGCCCUUGGGUCGUAAAGCUCUGACAGAGGGAAAGAAAUGUGGGUGGCUAAUAUCCAUUCCACUUGACGGUACCCUCAAAGGAAGCACCGGCUAACUCCGUGCCAGCAGCCGCCGUAACAC